rnacentral:rRNA from 1 species
UACGGAGGAUCCGAGCGUUAUCCGGAUUUAUUAGGUUUAAAGGGUGCGUAGGCGGUCUUGUGCGUCGGUGCUGAAAGCGCCCGGCUUAACCGGGCGAGGCGUGCCGAUACGACGAGACUUGAGGGGCAGCGAGGGUGGCGGAACUCCUGGUGUAGUGGUGAAAUGCGUAGAGAUCAGGAAGAACACCCGUGGCGCAAGCGGCCACCUGGCUGCCAACUGACGCUGAGGCACGAGAGCGUGGGGAGCGAACCGG